rnacentral:rRNA from 1 species
GAUGAACGCUAGCGGCAGGCUUAACACAUGCAAGUCGAGGGGUAUAUUUCUUCGGAGAUAGAGACCGGCGCACGGGUGCGUAACGCGUAUGCAAUCUGCCUUUCACAGAGGGAUAGCCCAGAGAAAUUUGGAUUAAUACCUCAUAGUAUUAUGACUCGGCAUCGAGUUAUAAUUAAAGUCACAACGGUGAAAGAUGAGCA